rnacentral:lncRNA from 1 species
GGGGCGCGGCUGUGUUCCAGUAAAACUCUACUUGCAGAGACAGGUGGCAUGCCAGAUUUGGCUCAGGGACUGUAAUUUGCCAACCCCUGAUUUAAACCUUUGAUGAAUUGUGAUAUCAAGGGCUAUGUUUGAAAACACAUCUGGCACUUUGGCGAAGUUUGGUCAUGGAUUGAAAACUGGACCCUGCCUGUUACCAUGAAAACAAGCAUAAAACUGGUUGUCAGGGAAACUAGAUUCUUGUCCUGGUUCAUUGACUUGGCCCUGAGAAGCCAUGUUCCUUAUCUCAGCCUCGGCUUCCUCAUGAAUAAGGCACCAGUGCUUUCCCAUGAACUUUGUCUAUCUUAGGAGAAUCCUGGUUGGCCAGCACGAGGAGGAGAGGGAGCAGAGGAGGGUGAGAAAAGAGCCUGCAGCGUGCCCUUCUGUCUGAAACAAUGAACAGCCCAUCACACGAAGAGCUAGAAAACAACCCAGGAGAAGGAGGCAUUCUGCCGCAUGAAUAGGGAGAUGUCAUUAGCAGGGUUGCCUCCCCACUCUCUCCAGCAUAGAAGACGUACUGCCUGACAGCGCCCGAUCCUCCAAUCUCCCUGAAGCUGUCUCCUUAGGUCUCCUCACUCCUCAAGAGAAGUGGAACUUUCUUGGAUUGGGAAAGUCCCUUACCUGGGCCACUGGAAGGAUCCAAAUGUUGGACAGCAACCACACUCUGCAGGACACAGACUUGGCGUCAGUGUAGACACCGCCUUAGUGGUUCCUCUUGUAAACUGAGCCUUGCAGUGCAGACGUGUGACCAAGGUUAUCCCUGGAAAGAACGUCAUGGGCCUCAGUGGAAAGUUGCUGGACAAGCCCCAGACUGUGUUAUGAAACAAACCCUUGUUUCCAGGGUGGGACACUUGCUGAAUGAUCUGUGUUAUGUGGUUGCAAGUAAGAAUGACAAAAAUAAAGCAUCCUUAAUUUCUGGGAAAGUCAGUGCUCGAACUUCAAGAAUGAGUUAUUGAGGGAGGGGAUGACGUCUCCUGGGUUGGGAGGUCUACUGGAGAAAGCCCAAUAGCUUUCCCAACUGGGGCCGCUUCAUCACCCCUGGGGACUGAGCUGUGUUUCUUGGGCUGGAGAACAGAAGGAGCCGGUAGUUCAUCAUGUUGACAGCCAGUCAUGGGGGCCUGGAGGCCUGUGUUCCCAAUCACAGGGUUCCUGCCUUCUCUUCUCCCACCAAAUCCUUGCCUGGGGCCCCUGCCUCUCCCUGGUGAGAUUUCUGCUUUCAAAUCCC